rnacentral:rRNA from 1 species
AUUGAACGCUGGCGGCAUGCUUUACACAUGCAAGUCGAACGGUAACAGGCCGCAAGGUGCUGACGAGUGGCGAACGGGUGAGUAAUGCAUCGGAACGUGCCCAGUCGUGGGGGAUAACGCAGCGAAAGCUGCGCUAAUACCGCAUACGAUCUAUGGAUGAAAGCGGGGGACCGUAAGGCCUCGCGCGAUUGGAGCGGCCGAUGUCAGAUUAGGUAGUUGGUGGGGUAAAGGCUCACCAAGCCAACGAUCUGUAGCUGGUCUGAGAGGACGACCAGCCACACUGGGACUGAGACACGGCCCAGACUCCUACGGGAGGCAGCAGUGGGGAAUUUUGGACAAUGGGCGCAAGCCUGAUCCAGCAAUGCCGCGUGCAGGAAGAAGGCCUUCGGGCUGUAAACUGCUUUUGUACGGAACGAAACGGUCCUGGUUAAUACCCGGGGCUAAUGACGGUACCGUAAGGAUAAGCACCGGCUAACUACGUGCCAGCAGCCGCCGUAAGAC